rnacentral:misc_RNA from 1 species
GCUCGACCAAGUCCCUACGAUUUCGAAACUUUUUGACUUUGGCGAUCGAUAAUGGAGUGGGAGAGUGAUGAUAAAGAACUAAAGGCGGCCGGAGCUGAACCUCUUCCGGGCGGCCGUCGUGGACUCCGCAUUCACGGUUGGGAGAUCGAGUGUCGCAAGCUUUUCAUUCUCAAUUCUCUUCAUCUUCAACGUUGGGAAAAAGAACUUCAGACAACUCACUUGCCGGAGAUGGUAUUUGGAGACAAUUGUUUGGUGCUUAAGCAUGUAAAUAGUGGCACAAAAUUCUUUUUCAACGCAUUUGAUGCUUUAGUAAGUUGGAAACAUGAGGCCUUGCCGCCUGUUGAAGUUCCAGCGGCUGCAAAAUGGAAAUUCAGGAGUAAACCUUUGCAACAGGUGGUGCUCGACUAUGACUAUACCUUCACAACACCUUACUGUGGAAGUGAAACUGUCGAAAGCAAUGUCGAGUGUGGAAGUGCAAUACCUGAAGAAGGCAGCAGCUGCAUUCAGUGGGAGGAUUGUAAGGAGAAAAUUGAUUUGGUUGCAUUGGCGUCUAAAGAACCUAUUCUCUUCUAUGAUGAGAUAAUCUUAUACGAAGAUGAACUGGCAGAUAAUGGGAUCUCACUUUUGACUGUUAAAGUGAGAGUCAUGCCU